UAACUGCUUGCUAUCGGUUAGGCUCCAAC
rnacentral:piRNA from 1 species